rnacentral:rRNA from 1 species
CAAUAGCGUAUAUUAAAGUUGUUGCAGUUAAAAAGCUCGUAGUUGGAUUUCUGGUUGAAGCGACCGGUCGGGCGUUGAUUCGUCUGCACUGGAGUCGGUUUUGGCCAUCCUCUAGGAAAGUGCGUCUGGUAUUAAGUUAUCGGGCGUAUGAUCCUGGUCUUUUACUGUGAAAAAAUUAGAGUGUUUAAAGCAGGCCUUCGCCUUGAAUACAUUAGCAUGGAAUAAUAAGAUAGGACUUUGGUCUAUUUUGUUGGUUUGCAGACCGAAGUAAUGAUUAAUAGGGAUAGUUGGGGGUACUUAUAUUCCGAUGUCAGAGGUGAAAUUCUUAGAUUUUCGGAAGAUAAACUUAUGCGAAAGCAUUUACCAAGGAUGUUUUCAUUAA